rnacentral:rRNA from 1 species
AUUGAACGCUGGCGGCAGGCUUAACACAUGCAAGUCGAGCGGGGUGAUGGUGCUUGCACUAUCACUUAGCGGCGGACGGGUGAGUAAUGCUUAGGAAUCUGCCUAUUAGUGGGGGACAACAUCUCGAAAGGGAUGCUAAUACCGCAUACGUCCUACGGGAGAAAGCAGGGGAUCACUUGUGACCUUGCGCUAAUAGAUGAGCCUAAGUCGGAUUAGCUAGUUGGUGGGGUAAAGGCCUACCAAGGCGACGAUCUGUAGCGGGUAUGAGAGGAUGUACCGCCACACUGGGAAUGAGAACCGGCCCAGACUCCUACGGGAGGCAGGAGUGGGGAAUAUUGGACAAUGGGGGGAACCCUGAUCCAGCCAUGCCGCGUGUGUGAAGAAGGCCUUAUGGUUGUAAAGCACUUUAAGCGAGGAGGAGGCUCUUUUGGUUAAUACCCAAGAUGAGUGGACGUUACUCGCAGAAUAAGCACCGGCUAACUCUGUGCCAACCGCCGCCGUAA